rnacentral:rRNA from 1 species
UACGUAGGGUGCAAGCGUUAUCCGGAAUCACUGGGUUUAAAGGGUGCGUAGGCGGUCAGAUAAGUCAGUCGUGAAAUUCCUCGGCUUAACCGGGUGGACUGCGAUUGAUACUGUUUGACUUGAAUGAGGUUGAGGUAGGCGGAAUGUGGCAUGUAGCGGUGAAAUGCUUAGAUAUGCCAUAGAACACCGAUUGCGAAGGCAGCUUGCUGGGCCUUCAUUGACGCUGAGGCACGAAAGCGUGGGGAGCAAACAGG